rnacentral:rRNA from 1 species
CCUACGGGUGGCUGCAGUGAGGAAUAUUGGUCAAUGGCCGGAAGGCUGAACCAGCCAUGCCGCGUGAAGGUCAGUGCCCUAUGGGCGUUAAACUUCUUUUGUGCGGGAGCAAUAAUGGUCACGUGUGGCCAGACGAGAGUACCGUACGAAUAAGCAUCGGCUAACUCCGUGCCAGCAGCCGCGGUAAUACGGGGGAUGCAAGCGUUAUCCGGAUUUAUUGGGUUAAGGGGUGUGUAGGCGGGGACGCAAGUUAGAUGUGAAAACCACCGGCUCAACCGGUGGCCUGCAUUUGAAACUGUGUUUCUGGAGUACGGGAGAGGCAGACGGAAUUCCUGGUGUAGCGGUGAAAUGCGUAGAUAUUAGGAGGAACACCAGUGGCGAAGGCGGUCUGCUGGACAGCAACUGACGCUGAGGCGCGAAAGCGUGGGGAGCAAACAGGAUUAGAUACCCGUGUAGUC